rnacentral:rRNA from 1 species
AGAGUUUGAUCCUGGCUCAGGACGAACGCUGGCGGCGUGCUUAACACAUGCAAGUCGAACGAAAAGAGGGAAAGAGCUUGCUCUUUCCGGAAUUGAGUGGCAAACGGGUGAGUAACACGUAAACAACCUGCCUUCAGGAUGGGGACAACAGACGGAAACGACUGCUAAUACCGAAUAAGUUCCAAGAGCCGCAUGGCCCAUGGAAGAAAAGGUGGCCUCUACCUGUAAGCUAUCGCCUGAAGAGGGGUUUGCGUCUGAUUAGCUGGUUGGAGGGGUAACGGCCCACCAAGGCGACGAUCAGUAGCCGGUCUGAGAGGAUGAACGGCCACACUGGAACUGAGACACGGUCCAGACUCCUACGGGAGGCAGCAGUGGGGAAUUUUGGACAAUGGGGGCAACCCUGAUCCAGCCAUGCCGCGUGCGGGAAGAAGGCCUUCGGGUUGUAAACCGCUUUUGUCAGGGACGAAAAGGUGCGGGUUAAGAGCUAGCACUGAUGACGGUACCUGAAGAAUAAGCACCGGCUAACUACGUGCCAGCAGCCGCGGUAAUACGUAGGGUGCGAGCGUUAAUCGGAAUUACUGGGCGUAAAGCGUGCGCAGGCGGUUGGGUAAGACAGAUGUGAAAUCCCCGGGCUUAACCUGGGAACUGCAUUUGUGACUGUCCGACUGGAGUAUGUCAGAGGGGGGUGGAAUUCCAAGUGUAGCAGUGAAAUGCGUAGAUAUUUGGAAGAACACCGAUGGCGAAGGCAGCCCCCUGGGGCAAAACUGACGCUCAUGCACGAAAGCGUGGGGAGCAAACAGGAUUAGAUACCCUGGUAGUCCACGCCCUAAACGAUGUCUACUGGUUGUUGGAGGGUAAAACCUUCAGUAACGAAGCUAACGCGUGAAGUAGACCGCCUGGGGAGUACGGUCGCAAGAUUAAAACUCAAAGGAAUUGACGGGGACCCG